UACGUAGGGACCAAGCGUUGUUCGGAUUUACUGGGCGUAAAGGGCGCGUAGGCGGCAUGACAAGUCACUUGUGAAAUCUUCGGGCUUAACCCGGAACGGCCAAGUGAUACUGUCGCGCUAGAGUGCGGAAGGGGCAAUCGGAAUUCUCGGUGUAGCGGUGAAAUGCGUAGAUAUCGAGAGGAACACCUGAGGUGAAGACGGGUUGCUGGGCCGACACUGACGCUGAGUGCGCGAAAGCCAGGGGAGCAAA
rnacentral:rRNA from 1 species